UACAUGGGGUGCAAACGUUGCUCGGAAUUAUUGGGCGUAAAGCGCACGUAGGCGGUUCGUUAAGUCGGAUGUGAAAGCCCUCGGCUCAACUGAGGAAGUGCACCCGAAACUGGCGAGCUUGAGUACGAAAGAGGAUCGCGGAAUUCCCGGUGUAGAGGUGAAAUUCGUAGAUAUCGGGAGGAACACCGGUGGCGAAGGCGGCGAUCUGGGUCGAUACUGACGCUGAGGUGCGAAAGCG
rnacentral:rRNA from 1 species